UACGAAGGGGGCAAGCGUUGUUCGGAAUUACUGGGCGUAAAGGGCGCGCAGGCGGCUGAUCAAGUCAGAUGUGAAAGCCCCGGGCUCAACCUGGGAAUAGCAUUUGGGACUGGUCGGCUAGAGUUCGGGAGAGGAGAGUGGAAUUCCCAGUGUAGAGGUGAAAUUCGUAGAUAUUGGGAAGAACACCGGUGGCGAAGGCGGCUCUCUGGACCGAUACUGACGCUGAGGCACGAAAGCGUGGGGAGCAAACAGG
rnacentral:rRNA from 1 species